UGAAGGAGCUUGCUCCUGGAUUCAGCGGCGGACGGGUGAGUAAUGCCUAGGAAUCUGCCUGGUAGUGGGGGACAACGUUUCGAAAGGAACGCUAAUACCGCAUACGUCCUACGGGAGAAAGCAGGGGACCUUCGGGCCUUGCGCUAUCAGAUGAGCCUAGGUCGGAUUAGCUAGUUGGUGAGGUAAUGGCUCACCAAGGCGACGAUCCGUAACUGGUCUGAGAGGAUGAUCAGUCACACUGGAACUGAGACACGGUCCAGACUCCUACGGGAGGCAGCAGUGGGGAAUAUUGGACAAUGGGCGAAAGCCUGAUCCAGCCAUGCCGCGUGUGUGAAGAAGGUCUUCGGAUUGUAAAGCACUUUAAGUUGGGAGGAAGGGUUGUAGAUUAAUACUCUGCAAUUUUGACGUUACCGACAGAAUAAGCACCGGCUAACUCUGUGCCAGCAGCCGCGGUAAUACAGAGGGUGCAAGCGUUAAUCGGAAUUACUGGGCGUAAAGCGCGCGUAGGUGGUUCGUUAAGUUGGAUGUGAAAUCCCCGGGCUCAACCUGGGAACUGCAUUCAAAACUGUCGAGCUAGAGUAUGGUAGAGGGUGGUGGAAUUUCCUGUGUAGCGGUGAAAUGCGUAGAUAUAGGAAGGAACACCAGUGGCG
rnacentral:rRNA from 1 species